AUUUAUAUAGUUUAUAAAAACAUUUCAUUUUCAAUGAAAAAAUAAGCUAAAGCUUUAUAAAUA
rnacentral:tRNA from 1 species